GAUGAACGCUAGCGGCAGGCCUAAUACAUGCAAGUCGAACGGUGUCUUCGGACAUAGUGGCGCACGGGUGCGUAACACGUAUGCAACCUACCUUACAUUGGGGGAUAGCCUUUCGAAAGGGAGAUUAAUACCGCAUAAGACAGUAGCUGGGCAUCCAGCAGCUGUUAAAGAUUUAUCGAUGUAAGCUGGGCAUGCGUCCAAUUAGCUAGUUGGUGAGGUAUCGGCUCACCAAGGCAAUGAUUGGUAGGGGAACUGAGAGGUCAAUCCCCCACACUGGCACUGGGAUACGGGCCAGACUCCUACGGGAGGGAGCAGUAGGGAAUAUUGGGCAAUGGACGCAAGUCUGACCCAGCCAUGCCGCGUGCAGGAUGAAGGCGUUAUGCGUUGUAAACUGCUUUUAUACAGGAAGAAACGACUCUUGCGAGAGGCAUUGACGGUACUGUAUGAAUAAGCACCGGCUAACUCCGUGCCAGCAGCCGCCGUAAGAC
rnacentral:rRNA from 1 species